GCAGUCGAGCGGAACGGCAGUAUUGAAGCUUCGGUGGAUUUACUGGACGUCGAGCGGCGGACGGGUGAGUAACGGCUGGGAACCUGCCCUGACGAGGGGGAUAACCGUUGGAAACGACGGCUAAUACCGCAUAAUGUCUACGGACCAAAGGUGGCCUCUACAUGUAAGCUAUCGCGUUGGGAUGGGCCCAGUUAGGAUUAGCUAGUUGGUAAGGUAACGGCUUACCAAGGCGACGAUCCUUAGCUGGUUUGAGAGGAUGAUCAGCCACACUGGGACUGAGACACGGCCCAGACUCCUACGGGAGGCAGCAGUGGGGAAUAUUGCACAAUGGGGGAGACCCUGAUGCAGCCAUGCCGCGUGUGUGAAGAAGGCCUUCGGGUUGUAAAGCACUUUCAGCAGUGAGGAAGGUAGUGUACUUAAUACGUGCAUUGCUUGACGUUAGCUGCAGAAGAAGCACCGGCUAACUCCGUGCCAGCAGCCGCGGUAAUACGGAGGGUGCGAGCGUUAAUCGGAAUUACUGGGCGUAAAGCGCAUGCAGGCGGUUUGUUAAGUCAGAUGUGAAAGCCCGGGGCUCAACCUCGGAACCGCAUUUGAAACUGGCAGGCUAGAGUCUUGUAGAGGGGGGUAGAAUUUCAGGUGUAGCGGUGAAAUGCGUAGAGAUCUGAAGGAAUACCAGUGGCGAAGGCGGCCCCCUGGACAAAGACUGACGCUCAGAUGCGAAAGCGUGGGUAGCAAACAGGAUUAGAUACCCUGGUAGUCCACGCCGUAAACGAUGUCUACUUGGAGGCUGAGGUUUUAGACUUUGGCUUUCGGAGCUAACGCAUUAAGUAGACCGCCUGGGGAGUACGGCCGCAAGGUUAAAACUCAAAUGAAUUGACGGGGGCCCGCACAAGCGGUGGA
rnacentral:rRNA from 2 species